rnacentral:rRNA from 1 species
UACGUAGGGGGCAAGCGUUGUCCGGAUUUAUUGGGCGUAAAGAGCGUGUAGGCGGCCAGAUAGGUCCGUUGUGAAACUGGAGGCUUAACCUCCAGCGGUCGAUGGAAACCAUCUGGCUAGAGUCCGGAAGAGGAGAGUGGGAAUUCCUGGAUGUGAGCGGUGGAAAUGACGCAGAUAUCAGGAAGAACACCCGUGGCGAAGGCGGCUCUCUGGGACGGUACUGACGCUGAGACGCGAAAGCGUGGGGAGCGAACAGG